UACGUAGGGUGCGAGCGUUAAUCGGAAUUACUGGGCGUAAAGUGUGCGCAGGCGGCCGAGCAAGUCGAGUGUGAAAGCCCCGAGCUUAACUUGGGAACUGCGCUCGAAACUACUUGGCUAGAGUGUGGCAGAGGGAGGUAGAAUUCCACGUGUAGCGGUGAAAUGCGUAGAGAUGUGGAGGAACACCGAUGGCGAAGGCAGCCUCCUGGGCCAACACUGACGCUCAUGCACGAAAGCGUGGGGAGCAAACAGG
rnacentral:rRNA from 1 species